rnacentral:rRNA from 1 species
UAGGGAAUCUUCCACAAUGGACGCAAGUCUGAUGGAGCAACGCCGCGUGAGUGAAGAAGGUUUUCGGAUCGUAAAGCUCUGUUGUUGGUGAAGAAGGAUAGAGGCAGUAACUGGUCUUUAUUUGACGGUAAUCAACCAGAAAGUCACGGCUAACUACGUGCCAGCAGCCGCGGUAAUACGUAGGUGGCAAGCGUUGUCCGGAUUUAUUGGGCGUAAAGCGAGCGCAGGCGGAAUGAUAAGUCUGAUGUGAAAGCCCACGGCUCAACCGUGGCACUGCAUCGGAAACUGUCAUUCUUGAGUGCAGAAGAGGAGAGUGGAAUUCCAUGUGUAGCGGUGGAAUGCGUAGAUAUAUGGAAGAACACCAGUGGCGAAGGCGGCUCUCUGGUCUGCAACUGACGCUGAGGCUCGAAAGCAUGGGUAGCGAACAGG